CCUUAGUGGCGAACGGGUGAGUAACGCGUGGGAACCUGCCCAGAAGUGGGGAAUAACUAUUGGAAACGAUAGCUAAUACCGCAUAUCUCCUGAGGGAGAAAGGCUUCGGCCGCUUUUGGAUGGUCCCGCGUCUGAUUAGCUUGUUGGUGAGGUAACGGCUCACCAAGGCGACGAUCAGUAGCUGGUCUGAGAGGAUGAUCAGCCACACUGGGACUGAGACACGGCCCAG
rnacentral:rRNA from 1 species